CCUACGGGGGACAGCAGUAGGGAAUAUUGCUCAAUGGGGGAAACCCUGAAGCAGCAACGCCGCGUGGAGGAUGAAGGUUUUCGGAUUGUAAACUCCUUUUGUUAGAGAAGAUAAUGACGGUAUCUAACGAAUAAGCACCGGCUAACUCCGUGCCAGCAGCCGCGGUAAUACGGAGGGUGCAAGCGUUACUCGGAAUCACUGGGCGUAAAGAGCGCGUAGGCGGGAUAGCAAGUCAGAUGUGAAAUCCUAGGGCUUAACCAUAGAACUGCAUUUGAAACUGUUAUUCUAGAGUAUGGGAGAGGUAGGUGGAAUUCUUGGUGUAGGGGUAAAAUCCGUAGAGAUCAAGAGGAAUACUCAUUGCGAAGGCGACCUGCUAGAACAUAACUGACGCUGAUGCGCGAAAGCGUGGGGAGCAAACAGGAUUAGAUACCCGUGUAGUC
rnacentral:rRNA from 1 species